UCCUGUAGCUCAGUGGUAGAGCGUGCGACCGGUGUGCGGAAGGAGUCGAACCUAUGAUAGGUUCGACUCCUGUUGGCGGAA